rnacentral:lncRNA from 1 species
CCGCGCGCUCAUAUUCUAUACAGGGCACACCUCCUGGGAGUCGGUGGCUACAGGAUAAGCUCUGGGGUCUUGGAGUCUUAGGACCUGCUACUAUUUGCAGAGCUUGUGGAAGGUGUCCGGGCCCUGGAGGUACUAGGAGCUCACUGCUUUUCCUGUGCCAUCCACAUCGUUCUGAGAGUAGACUCUCUCAUUUUGCCUGGAAACCCUUUGAGUAGGCUGGACAGCCUAACAAGGGAGCUCUAAGAAUCCCUCCAGUUCUGUCUCUCCAGCUCUGGGACUUCCACUAUGCACCUCCAUGGCCAGUUAUCUGCAUGGGUUCUGAAGAGCAAACUCAAGUCCUCAUGCUGGGGGCCAGGGUGAGGGAACAGUGGUUGACUGACUGAGCCAUCUCCCCAGAUCCCUCCCAGCCACCAUGAGAAACUGAUGACUAAUUCCACCAAAGCGUCAAUGGGGAACAAUUCUAACAGUCUGCUCAGAUCUACUCCAUAAGUGACACAUCUGGAGAUUUUUUUCCACUGCUUGAAGCUGCCUCACCUAACAAUGUUCUUCUAUGUGUCUCCUACGAAGCGGCUUCCUUCCAUUGGUUGGGUGAACCAGUUGACAGCAUUGUGUGAGAAUCAUGGCUGGCAUCUGGUAGUCACACCUGAUUGUGAAACAAGCUACAGUGUUUCAAUUGCCCUUGCCCCCAAACUUAGAAAAAUGGAAGCUUCUAAUGUGAGUUGUUUCUAGUC